GGGAGUCGUACGCGGUACCCGUAGGUCUGCCGGGGAGCGCGGGAAGCGAGCUGAUCCCUUCGGGGUGACGCUCGUGGAACGAGCGGCGGACGGGUGAGUAACACGUGGGCAACCUGCCUGUAAGAUCGGGAUAACUCCGGGAAACCGGGGCUAAUACCGGGUAAUACUUUCUUUCGCAUGAAGGAAAGUUGAAAGAUGGCUUCUCGCUAUCACUUACAGAUGGGCCCGCGGCGCAUUAGCUAGUUGGUGAGGUAACGGCUCACCAAGGCGACGAUGCGUAGCCGACCUGAGAGGGUGAUCGGCCACACUGGGACUGAGACACGGCCCAGACUCCUACGGGAGGCAGCAGUAGGGAAUCUUCCGCAAUGGACGAAAGUCUGACGGAGCAACGCCGCGUGAACGAUGAAGGUCUUCGGAUCGUAAAGUUCUGUUGUUAGGGAAGAACAAGUACCGUGCGAAUAGAGCGGUACCUUGACGGUACCUAACGAGGAAGCCCCGGCUAACUACGUGCCAGCAGCCGCGGUAAUACGUAGGGGGCAAGCGUUGUCCGGAAUUAUUGGGCGUAAAGCGCGCGCAGGCGGUUCCUUAAGUCUGAUGUGAAAGCCCACGGCUCAACCGUGGAGGGUCAUUGGAAACUGGGGAACUUGAGGACAGAAGAGAGAGUGGAAUUCCACGUGUAGCGGUGAAAUGCGUAGAU
rnacentral:rRNA from 1 species